UACGUAGGGGGCAAGCGUUGUCCGGAUUUAUUGGGCGUAAAGCGCUCGCAGGUGGUUCGUUGCGUCGUGCGUGAAAGACCCCGGCUCAACUGGGGAGUGUCGUGCGAUACGGGCGGACUGGAGGCCAGUAGGGGGAUGCGGAAUUCCGGGUGUAGUGGUGGAAUGCGUAGAGAUCCGGAGGAACACCAGCGGCGAAGGCGGCAUCCUGGACUGGUUCUGACACUCAUGAGCGAAAGCGUGGGGAGCGAUCCGG
rnacentral:rRNA from 1 species